rnacentral:RNase_P_RNA from 1 species
GUAAGACAGAUGGUCGCUGCCGCAGAGCCGAAAGGCUGCGGGAGAGGAAAGUCCGGGCUUCACAGGGCAGGGUGCCAGAUAACGUCUGGCGGAGGCGACUCCAGGGACAGUGCAACAGAAAUAUACCGCCGGUCCUUGACCGGUAAGGGUGGAAGGGCAGUGUAAGAGACUACCGCCCGGCUGGUAACAGGCGGGGCAUAUGUAAACCCCAUUCGAAGCAAGACCGAACAGAAAGCAUAAGGCGGCCCGUCUGCUUUCGGGUAGGUCGCUUGAGCCAGGUGGUGACAUCUGGCCUAGAUAGAUGACCAUCCAACGACAUAACCCGGCUUAUCGUCUUGCUCCU